UACGUAGGGUGCAAGCGUUAAUCGGAAUUACUGGGCGUAAAGCGUGCGCAGGCGGUUCUAUAAGACAGAUGUGAAAUCCCCGGGCUCAACCUGGGAACUGCAUUCGUGACUGGCAAGCUAGAGUAUGGCAGAGGGGGGUGGAAUUCCACGUGUAGCAGUGAAAUGCGUAGAUAUGUGGAGGAACACCGAUGGCGAAGGCAGCCCCCUGGGUCAAGACUGACGCUCAUGCACGAAAGCGUGGGGAGCAAACAGG
rnacentral:rRNA from 1 species